rnacentral:rRNA from 1 species
CCUACGGGAGGCAGCAGUGAGGAAUAUUGGUCAAUGGGCGCGAGCCUGAACCAGCCAAGUAGCGUGAAGGAUGACUGCCCUACGGGUUGUAAACCUCUUUUAUAAAGGAAUAAGGUGCGGCACGUGACCCUUUUUGUAUGUACUUUAUGAAUAAGGAUCGGCUAACUCCGUGCCAGCAGCCGCGGUAAUACGGAGGAUCCGAGCGUUAUCCGGAUUUAUUGGGUUUAAAGGGAGCGUAGGCGGGUUGUUAAGUCAGUUGUGAAAGUCUGCGGCUCAACCGUAGAAGUGCAAUUGAUACUGGCAGUCUUGAGUGCAGUAGAGGUAGGCGGAAUUCGUGGUGUAGCGGUGAAAUGCUUAGAUAUCACGAAGAACUCCGAUUGCGAAGGCAGCUUACUAAACUGCAACUGACAUUGAUGCUCGAAAGUGUGGGUAUCAAACAGGAUUAGAUACCCGAGUAGUC